GAUGAACGCUGGCGGCGUGCCUAAUACAUGCAAGUCGAGCGAACAGACGAGGAGCUUGCUCCUCUGACGUUAGCGGCGGACGGGUGAGUAACACGUGGAUAACCUACCUAUAAGACUGGGAUAACUUCGGGAAACCGGAGCUAAUACCGGAUAAUAUAUUGAACCGCAUGGUUCAAUAGUGAAAGACGGUUUUGCUGUCACUUAUAGAUGGAUCCGCGCCGCAUUAGCUAGUUGGUAAGGUAACGGCUUACCAAGGCAACGAUGCGUAGCCGACCUGGGAGGGUGAUCGGCCACACUGGAACUGAGACACGGUCCAGACUCCUACGGGAGGCAGCAGUAGGGAAUCUUCCGCAAUGGGCGAAAGCCUGGCGGAGCAACGCCGCGUGAGUGAUGAAGGUCUUCGGAUCGUAAAACUCUGUUAUUAGGGAAGAACAAAUGUGUAAGUAACUAUGCACGUCUUGACGGUACCUAAUCAGAAAGCCACGGCUAACUACGUG
rnacentral:rRNA from 1 species